rnacentral:rRNA from 1 species
AUUGAACGCUGGCGGCAGGCCUAACACAUGCAAGUCGAGCGAGCGGCGGACGGGUGAGUAAUGUAUGGGGACUGCCCGAUAGAGGGGGAUAACUACUGGAAACGGUAGCUAAUACCGCAUACUAUCGGAUAACCCAUAUGGGAUUAGCUAGUCGGUGAGGUAAUGGCUCACCUAGGCGACGAUACCUAGCUGGUCUGAGAGGAGGAUCAGCCACACGGGGACGGAGGCACGGCCCAAACUCCUAGGGAGGCAGCAGUGGGGAAUAUUGCACAAUGGGCGCAAGCCUGAUGCAGCCAUGCCGCGUGUAUGAAGAAGGCCCUAGGGUUGUAAAGUACUUUCAGUCGGGAGGCGUUACCGACAGAAGAAGCACCGGCUAACUCCGUGCCAGCAGCCGCGGUAAUUC